rnacentral:miRNA from 1 species
AGAUGGGUGAGUUUGCCAAAUU